AUGAACGCUAGCGGCAGGCUUAAUACAUGCAAGGUUGAGGGGCAGCAUGAUAUACGCGAGUAUAUUGAUGGCGACCGGCGGACGGGUGAGUAAUAGGUAGGAGACCUACCUCAUACAGGGGGAUAGCAUAAGAGAAAUCUGUGGUAAUACCCCAUGAGGUUAUAUGAAUAGAGGCAUAUAAUCAAAGCAUAAGCGAUUAUGCGGUAUGAGAGGGGCCUACUGACCAUUAGCUAGUUGGUGAGGUAAGGGCUCACCAAGGCGAAGAUGGUUAGGGGUUUUGAGAGAGAGACCCCCCACAUUGGAACUGAGAGACGGUCCAGACUCCUACGGGAGGCAGCAGUGGGGAAUAUUGCACAAUGGGCGAAAGCCUGAUGCAGCGACGCCGCGCGAGGGAUGACGGCCUUCGGGUUGUAAACCUCUUUCAGCAGGGAAGAAGCGAAAGUGACGGUACCUGCAGAAGAAGCACCGGCUAACUACGUG
rnacentral:rRNA from 1 species